AACGAACGCUGGCGGCAGGCCUAACACAUGCAAGUCGAACGGGCGUAGCAAUACGUCAGUGGCGCACGGGUGAGUAACGCGUGGGUACCUGUCUGAUGGUAGGGGAUAACCGCGGGAAACUGCGGCUAAUACCCUAUGUGUCCUUCGGGACAAAGAUUUAUCGCCAUCAGGUGGGCCCGCGUAGGAUUAGCUAGUUGGUGAGGUAACGGCUCACCAAGGCGACGAUCCUUAGCUGGUCUGAGAGGACGAUCAGCCACACUGGGACUGAGACACGGCCCAGACUCCUACGGGAGGCAGCAGUGGGGAAUAUUGGACAAUGGGGGCAACCCUGAUCCAGCCAUGCCGCGUGAGUGAUGAAGGCCUUCGGGUUGUAAAGCUCUUUUGGCGGGGACGAUGAUGACGGUACCCGCAGAAUAAGCUCCGGCUAACUUCGUGCCAGCCGCCGCCGUAAGAC
rnacentral:rRNA from 1 species